rnacentral:rRNA from 1 species
UACAGAGGUGCCGAGCGUUAGGCGGAAUCACUGGGCUUAAAGCGUGUGUAGGCGGAUGCCUAAGUACCUUGUGAAAUCCCCCGGCUUAACCGGGGAACUGCUUGGUAUACUGGGUGUCUUGAGCCACUUGGGGGCGACCGGAACAAACGGUGGAGCGGUGAAAUGCGUAGAUAUCGUUUGGAACGCCAAUGGUGAAAACAGGUCGCUGGGAGUGUGCUGACGCUGAGACACGAAAGCCAGGGGAGCGAACGGG